ACGUCAUAUCCAGCAAAAAGAGAUGCUAGUGGAUGUGAAAAGCGACUUGCUUAUCUUACAGAACAGAUCUCCACGACUACAUAAUUAUUUAGAGGCGAAUAUCAUGAUGUUACAACAAACCUUUGGGGAAUUGAGCUGCUUCAUAACAGAUGAAAAUGAUAACUGGAGUAUGAAACGAGCUCCCACCGGCACUAUCACCAACACUACCAUCACCAUGGCACUAUCACCACUGCCACCACCACAGCACCAACACAUAUGGCAAGCGGAGUUAACGAGUAAAUCCUGAGAAAUUUACAACUGGAUCAUGGAGACACUGCUGUUACAGGGGAGGGAUGAUCCUUAACCAGUGACUAAGUGAUAAAGGAGGUACCUGUAGCUGCCUUAUUUGGACCCAGUCUGUGGCCUCACACACGUGCUCUACUGUUUUUCUCUAAAUCCAAGGUUAUAUAGAGAAGCUAACCUGAGGUCUGACACAAAUUGUUCUGUUCUCUUUGUAAAGAUUCAUGUGUUAUAUAAUACUGCACCACUUACUGUGGCCACAAUUGUUGUACAUUGUGGCCACUGUUGUUGUACUGUACAUCACUUUUUGUAUACCUGUACAGUAUUGUCCAUAUACCUGUACCUGCAUUGUCUAUAUACAUGCUGGACUGGACUGUAUACUGUACUUCAUUGUCUAUAUAUGUGGUAAGUAUCGCUUACACACGCAUAAUUAUUACUUAAUUUGUUAAAGUAAAAUUCACGUUUCUCCUAACAGUGCUUGGCCUAUUGGUUCCAGUGCUUGGCUUUGAGCCUAAAUUCCACAAAUAAAUCGAUCAAUUAAUCCUAGCAGUACAUGCACUCUCAGAUGCUGUACCCAGCUUAUUGUAGGAAAGAUUUAUGAGUCUCUAAUUAAGUUCUAUGAAGACUUCAACCAGCUGUCCCUUGGGGUACUGUACCAUACUGCACUGUAGAUGUAACAUAUAAGUAAGAACACAAUAUCUUGAACCUUGUCGGAAGUGUUCUUCCCCUGGGUGUGUUAACAGCUCUGGCAGUGUUCCACGUCUCAACACCAGGAACCAAUCCUGUCUGACAUGACUUAACUUAUUAGUUUAAGGUAUAUACCGUACUCAUUAUAACUCAGUGUUAUUUUUUUAGUGUUAAAAUACAAUGGUAAUCAAUUACUAGUUUAUUUAUAUAAACUAUAUUUAUAUAAACUAAUUUACCAGAUUUAAAGUAAAUGCCGAGAAUAGUCAACUGGUCUCAACCCGGUGAACCAUCUGAUGGCCCCUUACGUUCAUCAGACUAAUUAUUUAUAAUAGUAAUAAAUCAUCACCACUAUUUAUAUUUUUAUACAUGUGAGUCACGGAUUAUACAAAUUACUGUAAGAAAGGCAAGAUUGACCCAUGACAACAAGACUAUUUCACGUGAAAUUCACACAAAACCACGACCCAAAUAUCCAUACUGUAGGUGCUUCUUGGCUCCACGGGGCAAGUUGUUACCAAGUUUGAUUUACAAUUCACAAUUAUUGCAUGGAAUUAUACAAUUUCCACAAUAUAUGUUGAACUAUAUACCUGCAUUGUGUAUGUUCUGAACUGUAUACAUUACCUGCAUUGGCUAUAUGCAGAUUGAGCCAAUUGUAAAC